AUUGAACGCUGGCGGCAGGCCUAACACAUGCCAGUCGAACGGUAACAGGAAGCAGCUUGCUGCUUCGCUGACGAGUGGCGGACGGGUGAGUAAUGUCUGGGAAGCUGCCUGAUGGAGGGGGAUAACUACUGGAAACGGUAGCUAAUACCGCAUAAUGUCGCAAGACCAAAGAGGGGGACCUUCGGGCCUCUUGCCAUCGGAUGUGCCCAGAUGGGAUUAGCUUGUUGGUGGGGUAACGGCUCACCAAGGCGACGAUCCCUAGCUGGUCUGAGAGGAUGACCAGCCACACUGGAACUGAGACACGGUCCAGACUCCUACGGGAGGCAGCAGUGAGGAAUAUUGCACAAUGGGCGCAAGCCUGAUGCAGCCAUGCCGCGUGUAUGAAGAAGGCCUUCGGGUUGUAAAGUACUUUCAGCGGGGAGGAAGGGAGUAAAGUUAAUACCUUUGCUCAUUGACGUUACCCGCAGAAGAAGCACCGGCUAACUCCGUG
rnacentral:rRNA from 1 species